CUCUCGUAGGCCCGGGCGGUACCUCUCUUGGUGGUGCACCUGAAUUUGGAGUCCUUUUCUACACUGACCCAGGGGAGCUCCUCUCCCCUUUUUCCACCCCUCUGGUACCCCCCGGGGGAGUUUGAUGGUGCGGCAGUGGUUCAUCUGGUCCGGGUCUACGCCUUCCAUUGGACGUCUUGGAACCUAUGGCAGCGUCUAACUAAUACUCCCUGAAGAAGACCGCUACUUAUAAAAGGUCGAAACGCGUAGGGGUGUUUUUCGCCCAUAGUAUUUGUAUACUUACAGUACUGUUAUGCUAUGUCUGUACUUGUUCUACCCUGUGUUAUUAUUUGCCAUGUAUGACUUAUGUUUUUUUACCAAGUUCAUAUCUUGAGUCCCUACUGUUUGGGGCUUUUUCCGUACAACAUAUUUAAAUAAAUUUAUACUUUUAUAUAUC